rnacentral:rRNA from 1 species
GGAGGAAUAUUGCACAAUGGGCGCAAGCCUGAUGCAGCCAUGCCGUGUGUAUGAAGAAGGCCUUCGGGUUGUAAAGUACUUUCAGCGAGGAGGAAGGGGGAGUGGUUAAUAACCAUUUUCAUUGACGUUACUCGCAGAAGAAGCACCGGCUAACUCCGUGCCAGCAGCCGCGGUAAUACGGAGGGUGCAAGCGUUAAUCGGAAUUACUGGGCGUAAAGCGCACGCAGGCGGUCUGUCAAGUCGGAUGUGA